rnacentral:rRNA from 1 species
UAGGGAAUCUUCGGCAAUGGGGGGAACCCUGACCGAGCAACGCCGCGUGAGUGAAGAAGGUUUUCGGAUCGUAAAGCUCUGUUGUUAAGGAAGAACGAGUGUGAGAAUGGAAAGUUCAUACUGUGACGGUACUUAACCAGAAAGGGACGGCUAACUACGUGCCAGCAGCCGCGGUAAUACGUAGGUCCCGAGCGUUGUCCGGAUUUAUUGGGCGUAAAGCGAGCGCAGGCGGUUAGAUAAGUCUGAAGUUAAAGGCAGUGGCUCAACCAUUGUAGGCUUUGGAAACUGUUUAACUUGAGUGCAGAAGGGGAGAGUGGAAUUCCAUGUGUAGCGGUGAAAUGCGUAGAUAUAUGGAGGAACACCGGUGGCGAAAGCGGCUCUCUGGUCUGUAACUGACGCUGAGGCUCGAAAGCGUGGGAGCGAACAGG